rnacentral:rRNA from 1 species
GGAGUUAGCCGGUGCUUCUUCUGUGAGUGAUGUCCUUCCUGCCGGCUAUUAACCCGCAGGCCUUCUUCCUCACUGAAAGUGCUUUACAACCCGAAGGCCUUCUUCACACACGCGGCAUGGCUGGAUCAGGGUUGCCCCCAUUGUCCAAUAUUCCCCACUGCUGCCUCCCGUAGGAGUCUGGGCCGUGUCUCAGUCCCAGUGUGGCUGAUCAUCCUCUCAGACCAGCUACGGAUCGUCGCCUUGGUGAGCCGUUACCUCACCAACCAGCUAAUCCGACAUAGGCUCAUCCGAUAGCGCGAGGCCCUAAGGUCCCCCGCUUUCCCCCGUAGGGCGUAUGCGGUAUUAGCCUGGGUUUCCCCAGGUUAUCCCCCACUACCGGGCAGAUUCCUAUGCAUUACUCACCCGUCCGCCGCUCGCCACCAGGGAGCAAGCUCCCCGUGCUGCCGCUCGACUUGCAUGUGUUAGGCCUGCCGCCAGCGUUCAAUCUGAGCCAGGAUCAAACUCUGA